rnacentral:lncRNA from 1 species
CAUUAUUACAAUAUUCUAAGGAGGCGAGCUUGCAGAAUCGUUAGUACGCAGGACGAAAUACUUAGCGGCAUUUCGAUCGUCUUUACGUUCUGAGUUCAAAUUCCGCUGAGGUAAAACCUGCCUUUCAUCCUUUCGGGGUCGAUAAAAUAAGUGUUAGUCAAGUUGUAAGGGCGAUGUAAUUGCCUUCCCCUCCCUCAAAAUUACUAUCCAUUUACCAAAAAUUAGAAAACAUUAUUACCAUGAUUUGAAGGCACUGAGCUGGCCGAAUCGCUAUUGCAUCGGACUUACUCAGCGGAGUUUCUUCCACUUCUUCACGGUCCGAUUUUAAAUUUCUCCAAGGUUGACCUUGCCUCUCAUCCUUUCUUGGUCGAUAAAAUGAAGCCCCAUUUGAGCAGUGAGACCGAUGUAAUCAAUUUUCCCCUCCUUCAAAAAUGCUGGCCUUGUGCCAAACUAAGAAAGAAAAUCUACCAUACUCUUGUUGCAGUAAGAUUAGCCACAACGUAUCUAAUUAUUUCGCUUUCCAACUUCUAUUAAGCAUCAUACUAGGAACAGUCCAUGUCUGGCGUCAGCGCUGACGCUGCUAACUAUUGCACUUGUAUAAUUUCAUGUGUGACAUUGUCAAAUCCGAUUAAAGAAGACGAAAAAAUAAAUAAUAUAAUGGAUUAUUUCUGAGAUUAUUCUUUGUGAUAAAACGAAACGACGAAAUGUAGUCGGAGAAAAGUCUUUAAAAUGGCUUUUAUUCAGCGGGAAAACUAAUUAAAAAUUGUGAAGAAUUAUGUUUUGAUUUAAAAUUUUUGAUUCUCUUUCGAUAAUCCGGAUUAUUGAUGUUGAUGUGUUAUUUAUUUUAUUAUUUGUAAUCCGUAAGAUCGAUUGGCAACAACAACGACAACAAAAAUAUAAUAAGUUUUUAGUCUUUAAAAUGCUAAUGAUACCUCAUUUGUCAGUGGAUUUAUUUACAGAACACGUCUCACCAAUUCCAAUUUUGGCGUGAAAUAGAAAGGGACGCAGGUGAGUGAUGAGAAAAUAUUUUUUUAGAUAUUUAUUAUUAAUUUCGUUGAUACGAAAAUAGAAGUGAGGAAUUAAAGAAGAAAAUAGUUAUAAAACGGGCGAAUUGUUAAAGGGAUGAAGAAAAAGAAGAAAGAAAGAAAAGAAGAGGACAGCAAGGAAAAAAAGAAAGACGAAAUUAGACACCAAAGAAAGCUUUAUUAAAUAGAUAAUGCACAGCGAGGAAGAAUGGGAAUUAAAAAAUGUAGUUUCUAUUUCAAGUGAAAGCCAAUAUUAACUUCAUUUCUCUCCAUAAAUUUGGUGCCAAAUAUCCUAAGGCACAAACCAAUAUUCUUGGGGAUGGCAUGAACAAUAUAUCUUCCUUCCUAGCAUAAAUGUCAAACUCUAAGCCUUAUUUAUCGGUAGGGAACCAGAAAACCCUAACGUUAAGUAUACUAGCUAAUAUAAAUCGACAGGUGUCUAGUAAAGGUAAGAGAACUGAGAGGAUGAAGUAUUGUACCUGCCUGAUCAUAAUCUGAGUGUUUCGAUCUAUCAAAGAUGUUUCGUUUGUGUCUUCGAGUGGAAUACCUCAGUUCACCAAGCUGUCUAAAAUAGUCACUUGAUAUUGUCACCAGUUGGAAAUUUAUCCCUUUCAUUCGCUGCAUGCCUUACAAAAGAAAACAACAAACCAUCCCUCAAAAUCCCUGUUUUCGACUCUGUGAGAUGUUUUACUUUAGAAUUAUCCGCGUUGUAUCGUUAUAAUUGUCAAGAUAAAGUUUUCAAAUUUUGGCACAGGAUCAGCAAAUCUGGGGGAGGGGGUAAGUCGAUUGUGUCGACCUCCUAGUUUUCAACUGAUACUUAAUCGACCCCGAAAGGAUGAAAGUCAAAGUCGACGUACGUCAGCGGAAUUUGAACUCAUAGCGUAUAGCCGGACGGAACGCCGCUAGCAUUCGGCCCGGCGCGCUAACGAUUCUGCCAGCUCGCCGCCUUGAUUAUUGCAAAAUAUCCCUUUCUUCUAUAGACACAAGGCUUAAAUUUGGGGGAAGGGAAGGCCAGUCAAUUUGAUCGACCUCAGUACGCAACUGGUACUUAAUUUAUCGACACGAAAGGAUGAAAGGCAAAGUCGACCUGGGAUUGCUAAAGUUUCUGCCAACUCACUGCCCUGAUCAUUGCCAAAAUAAUAUGCGAAAUGGUCUAGUCAAGGGAGAUAUAACUAAAUAGGUGAUCGAAUUAUAGCUCAACAUUUAAAGCAGUGGGAGCACUGUAGAAUACCUAAAUGCUUACAAUGAUUAGCUCAAUGUUUUAAAAUGUCAAAAUUUAAAAUUCUGUUCCAAACUGCAGCUACCUGAAACAGAGAUCAAAUUACUUGGAAAUGUCACCUAUCGGAAAUUUAUAUCUUUCAUUCACUUCAUGCCUUAAAACAAACACAACCAACCAGCCCUUAAAAUCCCUGUUUUCGACUUUGUGAAAGUCUUUACACUUGAGUUAUCGAUAUUGCAUCGUGUUUCUUGCCAAA